rnacentral:rRNA from 1 species
AGUCAAUAGAUACCCUGGUAGUCCAUGCCGUAAACGAUGAAUACUAGGUGUAGGAGGUAUCGACUCCUUCUGUGCCGCAGUUAACACAAUAAGUAUUCCGCCUGGGGAGUACGGUCGCAAGAUUAAAACUCAAAGGAAUUGACGGGGGCCCGCACAAGCAGCGGAGCAUGUGGUUUAAUUCGAAGCAACGCGAAGAACCUUACCCAGACUUGACAUCUCCUGAAUUAAUCGUAAUUGAUGAAAAUCCCUUCGGGGACAGGAAGACAGGUGGUGCAUGGUUGUCGUCAGCUCGUGUCGUGAGAUGUUGGGUUAAGUCCCGCAACGAGCGCAACCCUUAUCAUUAGUUGCUAACAUUAAGUUGAGCACUCUAGUGAGACUGCCCGGGUUAACCGGGAGGAAGGUGGGGAUGACGUCAAAUCAUCAUGCCCCUUAUGUCUGGGGCUACACACGUGCUACAAUGGUGGGAACAAAGAGAUGCAAGACCGCGAGGUGGAGCCAAACUCAAAAACCCAUCCCAGUUCGGAUUGUAGGCUGAAACUC